ensembl:processed_transcript predicted gene 13663
UCAGGUUCAUUCCUGGGUUCCCAGAAAACGUCUACAAAUCAUAUAUUUUGCAGAGGCUUAUAAAGGCAAACCCAUAAGGCUACAUGUUUCCCAGCAGGCCCAUUCAGGGGCAAACAUAUAUCCUGAAGCACUUCCUGUCUGUGUACCUCCCACUUACAUCCCGGUCAGGGGCAAGCAUACAUCCCUACCUAUUUCCUGACUAUGUACCUCACACCUACAUCCAGUACAGUUGGGCCAAACAAACUUGUUUAGGGGAGUGAAGCAUGUGGCUUGUUUUCUCCCAUAAGCACUAGCUUCUAGCAUUUCGGGAAAGAUCUGUCCCUUGGGCAAGACACUUAACAGUUAGCAACUGUUUUUUAUUCCAUGGAUCUCUUAGGCACCUUUGUGACUCUUACAACAUUUGCCUUGCAAGCCAGAGGACCCUAGUUUGAUCCCCUUCAGAUCCUGUCAGCUUUUCAGGCAACGGGCAGAAUCCAGAAAGGUAACGGCACAAGGAUAUAGGCAUCUUUGCAGGACGGGUGGCUUUCCUUCCUUCCUUUUUCCAUUUAUCCUUUCUUUAGAAGGCAGAUAAGGCGGCAUUAUUGAUUGAGGAGU